CUACUCUUGACAUCCAGAGAAGCCAGCGGAGACGCAUGUGUGCCUUCGGGAGCUCUGAGACAGGUGCUGCAUGGCUGUCGUCAGCUCGUGUUGUGAAAUGUUGGGUUAAGUCCCGCAACGAGCGCAACUCUUAUCCUUGUUUGCCAGCGAGUAAUGUCGGGAACUCCAGGGAGACUGCCGGUGAUAAACCGGAGGAAGGUGGGGACGACGUCAAGUCAUCAUGGCCCUUACGAGUAGGGCUACACACGUGCUACAAUGGCGCAUACAGAGGGCAGCCAACUUGCGAAAGUGAGCGAAUCCCAAAAAGUGCGUCGUAGUCCGGAUUGGAGUCUGCAACUCGACUCCAUGAAGUCGGAAUCGCUAGUAAUCGUAGAUCAGAAUGCUACGGUGAAUACGUUCCCGGGUCUUGUA
rnacentral:rRNA from 1 species